AAUGUGGCAGGGCAUGGCUAGGGCAGCAGCGUAUGGUCCCUGAUUGAUAUGUCGUGGCGCGGCCAGCAAGAAAAGCAUGGUGCGGUGAGGCUAUUGCAGGCAUGGCCGCAGCAUAUGGAUGACAAGAUUGGCCUUCUAAGGUUGGUCUUCUGAGGUUGGCCUUCUAAAGUCGGCCUUCUGAGGUCGGCCUUCUGAGGUCAGCUCGGCCAGAAUUGAAUGACUUCAUGCCGAAAAUAGGACGAUCCAUUUUGCCUCCCAUCAUUGCCUCCUGAUUUUCGAGUUCGAGUCGUUUGUUGGCUCGAGCAAAGAAAGUAGCCGAGUCGUUGAUCGUCCUGUAAUUCAGUCAAAUAUUUGUGAAAAUACAUAUGCCGAGAAGGGUGUACCUCUCAUGUCGUUGAAGCUAACGACUUCAAGCCGAGCUUUUCGAGCCGAGCUAAGCGACUCUACUCUGAGGUUGAUUUCAACAACCUUCUUUGGCUCGUGAUUGACUCAGUAGGGCGCCCCCACUCAAAUCGGGGCGCGUCGUAGCAGAAGGUGUCAAAUAGCGUUGAAUAUCGUCGAAAGGCGUCGAAUGUCAUCGAAAUGGCAUCGAAGGGUGUCGAAGGGCCUCGAAUGUCGUCGAAGGGCAUCGAAUUGACGUCGAAUGUCGUCGAAGUGGCGUCGAACUGGCAUCGAAUGUCGUCGAAGGGCGUCGAAUGGUCCUACAGUCAAGGGACCUAGGAUUUGGGCUGACUUAAGUUGCAUACUGAUCUAGGAUUUGGGCUGACUUAGUAAUUAAAACUUUGUGUGCUUUUGAAAUUCUUGGCACUUAUGCAUUUGAAAUUAGAUUUUAUGAAAUAAUGAAAUAAACUCUUUGGGUAGAGACAACAGUUUAUGGGUAUCUGAGCCGGAAAUCCUCACGAGACAAAACUCGUCCACAAGGGCCACCUAGGGGUUUAAAGCCUUAUUGCAUACGGUAAAUGCAAUCGCGAUUCCCACGAAAGUGAGUUUUUUUUAUUUUGCUCGAGGACUAGCAAAAUAUAGGUUGGGGGGUGUGAUAAAUGCUAAAUAAUGUAUAAAUAAAUCUAUUUUACAUAGCACUUAUUAGUAUUUUUAUAUAUAUACUUUAAGUUUAAAUAUGAGAAAAUAUGUUAACCUUCAUCAAUGCAUUUUAAUUCGAUUUUGUUUAUUGAUUGAGCCUAAUGUAUGCAGGUCGAGUCAAGCUCAAUAAGAUAAAGCCUAAACCUACACUGAAUCAUUUCAUAAUUCCACAUCCUCCAGAGUCGACUCCAAGAACUCUCCUCCAAAACCCAGUGCUUCCCAUUAAUUUCCGUCUCUUCACAAGUUCACCUAAUUCUCUUCCCACACUUUUCAAUCAUUUAUUUCUCAGAUCUCAAAGUAUAUCAUCUAUUCAUCUAUAGUUGCACAGAUCUCAGAGAAUUCUAGUCAUUGGCCUCUUCCCAGCCGAAUAGGAUUAAUUCCCCUGCUUCAAACAGUUCAAUUCCCAUCUUCCCAACCAAGCCAAAUCAAAUCCACGAAUUAUCUCCCUUGCUCUACAUUCGCAUGGGAUCACCCGUCCAAAAACCCCCCUGUUUCUCCGAGCAAUUCCUUCUCCCCAAGCAUCACGGAAGAGCUCGCUAUCCGCAUCCCUUGCAUCCACAACAAUCCCACGCUCAUCCCAAG
rnacentral:lncRNA from 1 species